rnacentral:rRNA from 1 species
UACAGAGGGUGCAAGCGUUGCUCGGAAUUAUUGGGCGUAAAGGGUAGGUAGGUGGUCUCAUUUGUCGGGGGUGAAAGCCUUGGGCUUAACCCAAGAAGUGCCUUCGAAACGGUGAGACUGGAGUCCUGGAGAGGGUCGUGGAAUUCCCGGUGUAGCGGUGAAAUGCGUAGAUAUCAGGAGGAACACCUGUGGCGAAAGCGGCUCACUGGACCAUAACUGACGCUGAUGCACGAAAGCUAGGGGAGCAAACAGG